rnacentral:rRNA from 1 species
UACGGGGGGGGCAAGCGUUGUUCGGAAUUACUGGGCGUAAAGGGUUCGUAGGUGGCCAACUAAGUCAGACGUGAAAUCCCUCAGCUUAACUGGGGAACUGCGUCUGAUACUGGUUGGCUUGAGUGCAGGAGAGGAAUGCGGAAUUCCAGGUGUAGCGGUGAAAUGCGUAGAUAUCUGGAGGAACACCGGUGGCGAAGGCGGCAUCCUGGACCGAGAUUGACGCUGAUGAGCGAAAGCCAGGGGAGCAAACGGG